GACUCUGUAUCUCAGUUGGUUAGAGUGCUGCACAGGAAUUGCAGGGCUGCGGGUUCAAUUCCUGCCAGAGGGU
rnacentral:tRNA from 1 species